rnacentral:rRNA from 1 species
GACGAACGCUGGCGGCGUGCUUAACACAUGCAGGUCGAACGGAAAGGCCCUGCUUUUGUGGGGUGCUCGAGUGGCGAACGGGUGAGUAACACGUGAGUAACCUGCCCUUGACUUUGGGAUAACUUCAGGAAACUGGGGCUAAUACCGGAUAGGAGCUCCUGCUGCAUGGUGGGGGUUGGAAAGUUUCGGCGGUUGGGGAUGGACUCGCGGCUUAUCAGCUUGUUGGUGGGGUAGUGGCUUACCAAGGCUUUGACGGGUAGCCGGCCUGAGAGGGUGACCGGCCACAUUGGGACUGAGAGACGGCCCAGACUCCUACGGGAGGCAGCAGUGGGGAAUAUUGCACAAUGGGCGGAAGCCUGAGGCAGCAACGCCGCGUGCGGGAUGACGGCCUUCGGGUUGUAAACCGCUUUCGCCUGUGACGAAGCGUGAGUGACGGUAAUGGGUAAAGAAGCACCGGCUAACUACGUG